rnacentral:rRNA from 1 species
CCCGCUCAGAAACUUAAAGGAAUUGACGGGGGCCCGCACAAGCGGUGGAGCACGUGGUUUAAUUCGAUGCAAACCGAAGAACCUUACCUGGGUUUGACAUGUACGUGUUACUGAUCUGAGAGGAGAGGGACCCAUGCUUCGGUAUGGGAGCGUACACAGGUGCUGCAUGGCUGUCGUCAGCUCGUGUCGUGAGAUGUUGGGUUAAGUCCCGCAACGAGCGCAACCCUUGCCUUUAGUUGCCAGCAGUUCGGCUGGGCACUCUAAAGGGACUGCCGGUGUUAAACCGGAGGAAGGUGGGGAUGACGUCAAGUCCUCAUGGCCUUUAUGACCAGGGCUACACACGUACUACAAUGGCCGAUACAAAGGGCAGCGACACUGCGAGGUGAAGCCAAUCCCGUAAAAUCGGUCUCAGUCCGGAUUGGAGUCUGCAACUCGACUCCAUGAAGUUGGAAUCGCUAGUAAUCGUGGAUCAGCAUGCCACGGUGAAUACGUUCCCGGGCCUU